AGUUACACAAUUUGAGUUUAAUUACUGAAAUAAAUGAACUUUUCCAUGACAUUCUAAUUUAUUGAGAUGCACCUAGAUAGAUGGAUGGAUGGACGGACGGACGGACGGACGGACGGACGAUGGAUGGAUGAACGGAUGGAUGGAUGGAUGGAUGGAUGGAUGGAUGGACAGACGGAUAUACAGCAUGUGAAACAGGGAAUAUAACUGAACCAAGUAAAAACAGUCACUCCUGAUUCUCUCAGAUCAGUAUCUGUGGUUUCUGUCCUUCAUGUUUGUGUUUCUCCAUCAGUCUCGGAGCAGAAGAACGACAGAAAGAUUUCUCCUCCAGUGUUUUUGUGUUUCUGCACCUGCUGCUCGCCCUGCUGGGAAACCAGCCCAUUAGAGUUCAGUUACAGACUAACAUGCCGGACGUUUCCCGCCAUUACCAGCCAGUAUCCAUUACCUCCUGGAGUCUCCGUCUGAGCGCGCUGAACUGCCUCGUCCCAGCAUCAAUACUGAGCGCAGAAUUACAUUGUCUUCUGAUUCCAGGACUCAAAGGAGCAUCUCGAUGAGAAACCAGGCGAGGUUACCUCUCACAUUUGGUAUCCAUUUUCCUUUCCUUUGACUUCAAUCAGGACAAAAGCUGUUUGUCCUUUUUAUUGUUUUUUCUUUUUCGCCGCUUCACACGUUGUCCGUCCGUUCGCUCACUGCUGGAAAGUCCAUGGCCCUGUUCUUUGGAAGCUGUUUGCCAUCAGUGAAAGGGAGCGGCUUGAGUUACUCUGAAGGAAAAUUAUAAACACAGAGGAGCAUUUAAGCUCGGCCAAGCUGGUGGCUGUACCCACAGAGCUUUGUGCCAUCCAGGACGAGGCUGGUUUAGGUUUCGGCCACGGGUUUAUUUGUUAACACCAUUAUAAAUGCUUGAGUCCAGAUCCCUUGAACCUGCGUCCAGGGGAAUGAUGUCUGAAGUUACUUAGUAAAGUCUUUUAAAAUCAGCGCUCUGCUGCCAGCGAGGAUCCGUGUGCAUAAAUAAACCACUAUAAACUUUAGCAUGAAUGCAUCGCUGACUGUAAUACGGAGGCUUUGAAAUGAUGAUGGACUUUUGGCUCAUUUAGUUUAAAAAUAACUAAUAUUUUCCAACCAUUAACAGCAUGAACCUGCAACCAGCUGCCAUGUCGUGAACUUACUAAUCUCAUGAAGCAAAAGUCCAAGUGUUGCAUGAAUUUCUCACACCUCGUAACCUUUUGUGCCG
rnacentral:lncRNA from 1 species